GACGAACGCUGGCGGCGUGCUUAACACAUGCAAGUCGAACGGAAAGGCCUGUCCUUCCUUGUGUUGGACGGGUACUCGAGUGGCGAACGGGUGAGUAACACGUGAGUGAUCUGCCCCCAACUUGGGUAUAAGCCUGGGAAACUGGGUCUAAUUCCCGAUAGGACUGCAGGGUGGUGCCUGUGGUGGAAAACGAUUUUCUAGUGGUUGGGGAUGAGCUCGCGGCCUAUCAGCUUGUUGGUGGGGUAAUGGCCUACCAAGGCGGCGACGGGUAGCCGGCCUGAGAGGGUGGACGGCCACAUUGGGACUGAGAUACGGCCCAGACUCCUACGGGAGGCAGCAGUGGGGAAUAUUGCACAAUGGGAGGAAGCCUGAUGCAGCGACGCCGCGUGGGGGAUGACGGCCUUCGGGUUGUAAACUCCUUUCGACCGCGAGGAAGCCGCCUGGUUGGAAGGGUGGUGACGGUAGUGGUAGAAGAAGCACCGGCUAACUACGUG
rnacentral:rRNA from 1 species